GCUUGCUGGGGGAUUAGUGGCGAACGGGUGAGUAACACGUGAGUAACCUGCCCUUAACUCUGGGAUAAGCCUGGGAAACUGGGUCUAAUACCGGAUAUGACUCCUCAUCGCAUGGUGGGGGGUGGAAAGCUUUUUGUGGUUUUGGAUGGACUCGCGGCCUAUCAGCUUGUUGGUGAGGUAAUGGCUCACCAAGGCGACGACGGGUAGCCGGCCUGAGAGGGUGACCGGCCACACUGGGACUGAGACACGGCCCAGACUCCUACGGGAGGCAGCAGUGGGGAAUAUUGCACAAUGGGCGCAAGCCUGAUGCAGCGACGCCGCGUGAGGGAUGACGGCCUUCGGGUUGUAAACCUCUUUCGUAGGGAAGAACGAAAGUGACGGUACCUGCAGAAGAAGCGCCGGCUAACUACGUGCCAGCAGCCGCGGUAAUACGUAGGGCGCAAGCGUUUCCGGAAUUAUUGGGCGUAAAGAGCUCGAGGCGGUUUGUCGCGUCUGCCGUGAAAGUCCGGGGCUCAACUCCGGAUCUGCGGUGGGUACGGGCAGCUAGAGUGAUGUAGGGGAACUGGAAUCCUGGUGUGCGGUGAAUGCGCAGAUAUCAGGAGGAACACCGAUGGCGAAGCAGUCUCUGGCAUUACUGAGCUGAGAGCGAAGCAUGGGAGCGACAGGAUAGAUACCUGGAGUCAUGCCGUAACGUGGGCACUAGGGUGGGGACAUUCACGUUUCGCGCGUACUACGCAUUAGUGCCCGCUGGGAGACGCCGC
rnacentral:rRNA from 1 species